rnacentral:rRNA from 1 species
GACGAACGCUGGCGGCGUGCUUAACACAUGCAAGUCGAACGGAAAGGCCCUGCUUUUGUGGGGUGCUCGAGUGGCGAACGGGUGAGUAACACGUGAGUAACCUGCCCUUGACUUUGGGAUAACUUCAGGAAACUGGGGCUAAUACCGGAUAGGAGCUCCUGCUGCAUGGUGGGGGUUGGAAAGUUUCGGCGGUUGGGGAUGGACUCGCGGCUUAUCAGCUUGUUGGUGGGGUAGUGGCUUACCAAGGCUUUGACGGGUAGCCGGCCUGAGAGGGUGACCGGCCACAGUGGCACUGAGAUACGGCCCAGACUCCUACGGGAGGCAAGAGUGGGGAAUAUAGCACAAUGGGCGGAAGCCUGGUGCAGCAACGCCGCGUGCGAGAUGACGGCCUUCGGGGUGUAAACCGCUUUCGCCUGUGACGAAGCGUGAGGGACGGUAAUGGGUAAAGAAGCACCGGCUAACUACGU